AACGAACGCUGGCGGCGCGCCUAAUACAUGCAAGUCGAGCGAGAAGACGUAGCAAUACGUUUGUAAAGCGGCGAACGGGUGAGGAAUACAUGGGUAACCUACCCUCGAGUGGGGAAUAACUAGCCGAAAGGUUAGCUAGUACCGCGUACGCUCCUUGGACUUCGGUUCAGGGAGGGAAAGCGAUACCGUGGGUAUCGCGCUCUUGGAUGGGCUCAUGUCCUAUCAGCUUGUUGGNGAGGUAACGGCUCACCAAGGCUUCGACGGGUAGCUGGUCUGAGAGGACGAUCAGCCACACUGGCACUGCGACGACGGGCC
rnacentral:rRNA from 1 species